GGACCCACGUCUCCCUCCAGACCCACAACCAUGUCUAAAAGGAGAAGGGGGGAGCAGAAUCAUAUUAAUUUGGACCCAUGGGAUGAGUGUUUUAUUCAUGCUGUUUCCAGGAAGGGAUGUCAGAGCUGGACCAGUCGAAACCCUUGGAGGCUUUUUUUGCAGUUGGCCACAGGGGCGUUGGAGGCCUGCUUAUGGGUCCUCGAUGUCGAGAAACUCCUGCUUGGGGGGCGCCGCGCCGCGGUACCACGCACAGGAGCCGUCACUUCUCUUGAUGCAGGCGAAGAACUUGGCCUGGUGCCCGUUGAUGUUCUUCUCUGUGACCCAGUCCAUCCAGAGGCACUCGUCCGGGGAGGAGAUGUAGCACGGG
ensembl:lncRNA novel transcript, antisense to TIMP2